rnacentral:rRNA from 1 species
UACGUAGGGUGCAAGCGUUGUCCGGAAUUAUUGGGCGUAAAGAGCGCGUAGGCGGUCCGAUAAGUCGGCUGUGAAAGUCAAGGGCUCAACCCUUGAAAGCCGGCCGAUACUGUCGGACUAGAGUCCGGAAGAGGCGAGUGGAAUUCCCGGUGUAGCGGUGAAAUGCGCAGAUAUCGGGAGGAACACCAAUGGCGAAGGCAGCUCGCUGGGACGGUACUGACGCUGAGGCGCGAAAGCGUGGGGAGCGAACAGG